rnacentral:rRNA from 1 species
CUAAGUUUGAUGGCGACCGGCGCACGGGUGAGUAACACGUAUCCAACCUGCCGAUGACUCGGGGAUAGCCUUUCGAAAGAAAGAUUAAUACCCGAUGGCAUAGUUCUUCCGCAUGGUAGAACUAUUAAAGAAUUUCGGUCAUCGAUGGGGAUGCGUUCCAUUAGGUUGUUGGCGGGGUAACGGCCCACCAAGCCUUCGAUGGAUAGGGGUUCUGAGAGGAAGGUCCCCCACAUUGGAACUGAGACAUGGUCCAAACUCCUACGGGAGGCAGCAUG